CUCCUCUCAGGAUGGCACCUGGAGAGUUUCCAGUACUCUACUAGUCUCCACUUCAGGAGGGAAAUUCAAGCAGAGGCCUACCCAUUUCAUUUAUAGCUUGGCCAGUGGCUAGUGAGUGGAAGGCAAUCUGCUACAGGU